rnacentral:tRNA from 1 species
GGCUGGUUAGCUCAGUGGUUUGAGCGUGGUGCUGGCAAAGGACCAACACCGAGGUCGCAGGUUCAAUUCCCGCUCGGUCC